GGGGCCACACUUUGAGACCCACUACUCCAGAUGUGAAUCCGUUUGAAAUUUGGGAAACAAAAUAAAGGAAGACCUCCUUGCUUUCAUUUCCCUCUACCUGAAAUAUCUUUGGCUGAGUUCUCAAAUGAAUAGAAAAACUGUUCAGACUUGACUGGAAAAGGAAAUAGGAAACUAAGAAUUUGGUGGGAGGACUCUUAAAAUCCUGUAAUAAUUGUGCCUUUCCUUUUCCAGGGUUUAGCACCCAGGUAACAGCAAGGACUACUCCAGUUUCCAAGUGAAACUAGCCAGGGGCACUGUUUCCUUGUUACCUUUCAAAUCCUCUUCUUGUCAUGUCCCACUGUUAACUAAUGAAGAGCUUUACCUGAUAUAUCUUUCUACCCUAAGAAGGCUAAUAGUCAUUCCUGCAGCAUUGACUCAAGGACUAGUUUGCUGUGGAACGAGAUUCCAGUGAGGUCUGAUUUUCAGGGAAGGCAUUCUUGCCUCUUUGCAGCCAAGAGAAGAAAAAUAUCUGUACGGCAACCGAAAGAGGAUGGUUUAGGAGAGAGUUCAUCUUCUCUCGCGUUUCAAUCAGUGGUAGACACUAACUCAGGACUCGAGAAAAUGAUUGGUCCAGCCAUCUUACUCAUCUAUGCCCGUCCCAGAACCACGAAGUUAUGAAUCGAGGACUAAGCAAACCUACCUCGUCUUAUCUUCUCCAAUUCUAAACUUGGUGAGGUAGAGAGAUGACUUUCUCUCCAGAUUGACCCGGGCAAGCUUUGCUGCAGUGACUGACAGUCUCUCUGAGAUGAACACUAAGCUGAUGAUUAUCAUAAGCCCAGCACAGUAGACAGGGAAAAUAAGACAUGGUAAAACUAUCUACAAAAUCAGGAAAAUGAAGGGGACCCCUCCUGGGAAUGAAAGACUCCCUCAGGAUGAACCCCUCCAGGAGACAAAAUCUUCAAGCAGCCCAUUUAUAUAUACCUCUGCUCUCAUGGCUGGUAACACCUACAAAGAGUUACAUGCAUUCUUGGCUGGUUCCAGCUCCGACGCUUUAGUGAGUACCACUCUGUACCAUGGUCUGUCUGCCUGAGAGUACCACUUGCAGUUCUGGUUGUGAUCAUACUUCAAGGAGGCACUAGUAGGCCAUAGAAGUCAGAAAAAGUUUAGAGAGGUUGCCUUAGGAAGCCAUAGUUUUAAAAUGUCUCUUAGAGCUGGAAAAGGAGACUGUGGGUAAGUAGCAUCAAAAGCCAUUAAAAUUUUUUGAAAUAAAAAUAAAUGGUAAUUUAUUGAUUAGAUUCUAGAUUAUUAUUUCCCUGAUAUACAUGGCACAACUGACACUGAGUAAGCUCAUACCAUGAAUUAGCCAUUGCAAUAGGUCAUACUGACAUAUUAUCCUAUUUCUCUUCACAGCAUCCCUGCAAGGGGGACAUUAUAUCUUUGGCAGAUAGGACUCAGAGAGGCUAAGUAACAUGCCCAAGGUCAUUGGCUAGUGAAUGAGAGAAA